GAUGAAGAACGUAGCGAAAUGCGAUAAGUAAUGUGAAUUGCAGAAUUCAGUGAAUCAUCGAAUCUUUGAACGCACCUUGCACCCUUUGGCAUUCCGAAGGGUAUGCUCGUUUGAGUGCCAUUGUACUCUCACACUUCCGAUCUUUGGAUUGGGAGCGGUGGACUUGGGUGUUGCUGCUUACUGUGGCUCACCUCAAAUCGAUUCGUGCACCUCUUGGUUGGACAUAGUACGGCGUGAUAAGUGUCUUCGCCGGCACCUCAGUAGAGGGUGGCUGAUCGGGAGCUCUGCUUCAAACCGUCCUCGGACAACAACUGACAACUUGACCUCAAAUCGAGUAGGACUACCCGCUGAACUUAAGCAUAUCAAUAAGCGGAGGA
rnacentral:misc_RNA from 1 species